GAUGAACGCUGGCGGCGUGCCUAAUACAUGCAAGUCGAGCGAACGGACGAGAAGCUUGCUUCUCUGAUGUUAGCGGCGGACGGGUGAGUAACACGUGGAUAACCUACCUAUAAGACUGGGAUAACUUCGGGAAACCGGCGCUAAUACCGGAUAAUAUUUUGCACCGCAUGGUUCAAAAGUGAAAGACGGUCUUGCUGUCACUUAUAGAUGGAUCCGCGCUGCAUUAGCUAGUUGGUAAGGUAACGGCUUACCAAGGCAACGAUGCAUAGCCGACCUGAGAGGGUGAUAGGCCACACGGGAACUGAGACACGGUCCAGACUCCUGAGGGAGGCAGCAGUAGGGAAUCGUCCGCAAUGGGCGAAAGCCUGACGGAGCAACGGCGCGUGAGUGAUGAAGGUCUUCGGAUCGUAAAACUCUGUUAUUAGGGAAGAACAUAUGUGUAAGUAACUGUGCACAUCUUGACGGUACCGAAUCAGAAAGCCACGGCUAACUACGUG
rnacentral:rRNA from 1 species